rnacentral:rRNA from 1 species
UCUCCGAAAUAGCUUUAGGGCUAGCCUCGAGGUAAAGAGUCAUGGAGGUAGAGCACUGUUUGGACUAGGGGCCCUUCUCGGGUUACCGAAUUCAGAUAAACUCCGAAUGCCAUGUACUUAUACUCGGGAGUCAGACUGCGAGUGAUAAGAUCCGUAGUCGAAAGGGAAACAGCCCAGACCACCAGUUAAGGUCCCCAAAUAUAUGUUAAGUGGAAAAGGAUGUGGGGUUGCUUAGACAACCAGGAUGUUGGCUUAGAAGCAGCCACCAUUGAAAGAGUGCGUAAUAGCUCACUGGUCGAGUGACCCCGCGCCGAAAAUGUACCGGGGCUAAACAUAUUACCGAAACUGUGGAUGAACCUCUUUAGAGGUUCGUGGUAGGAGAGCGUUCUAAGGGCGGUGAAGUCAGACCGGAAGGACUGGUGGAGCGCUUAGAAGUGAGAAUGCCGGUAUGAGUAGCGAAAGAAGGGUGAGAAUCCCUUCCACCGAAUAUCUAAGGUUUCCUGAGGAAGGCUCGUCCGCUCAGGGUUAGUCGGGACCUAAGCCGAGGCCGAUAGGCGUAGGCGAUGGACAACAGGUAGAGAUUCCUGUACCAGUGCUAAUUGUUUAACCGAUGGGGUGACACAGAAGGAUAGGGAAUCGCACGAAUGGAAAUGUGCGUCCAAGCAGUGAGUGUGAG